AUGGGGUUCAAAGCAACCUUGGCCAUUGGCCUGACCAUCUUUGUGCUGUCUGUCGUCACUAUCAUCAUCUGCUUCACCUGCUCCGGCUGGUUUCUGUACAAGACGUGCCACCGACCACGUCCCUCCAAGUGUGCCGCCCAGCUACCCUGGACCAAGCUACCAGGGCUACCAUACCAUGCCGCCUCAGUCAGGGAUGCCAGCAGCACCCUACCCAAUGCAGUACCCACCACCUUACCCAGCCCAGCUCAUGGGCCCACCGGCCUACCACAAGACCCUGGCUGGAGGAGCAGCCGCGCCCUACCCUGCCAGCCAGCCUCCUUACAACCCAGCCUACAUGGAUGCCCCCAAGGCGCCCCUCUGAGCAUCCCCCAGCCUCUCUGGCUGCCACUUGGUUAUGUUGUGUGUGUGUGAGUGGUGUGCAGGCACGGUUCCUUACGGCCCAUGCGUGCUGUGUGUGUCCUGCCUGUAUAUGUGGCUUCCUCUGAUGCUGACGAGGUGGGGAACGAUCCUUGCCAGAGUGGGCUGGGACCAGACCUUGUUUUCUUCCUCACCUGAAAUUAUGCUUCCUAAAAUCUCAAGCCAAACUCAAAGAAUGGGGUGGUGGGGGCACCCUGUGAGGUGGCCCCUGAGAGGUGGGGGGUUCUCCAGAGCACAUCUGGAGUUCUUCUCCAGCUUACCCUAGGGUGACCAAGUAUGGCCUGUCACACCAGAAUGACGCAGCUUUCUGUAUGAUGCAGAUGUGUCCUGGUUUCGGCAGCGUAGCCAGCUGCUGCUCGAGGUGAUGCAGGCGAAACUUGGGAUCUAACCAAGUUGGGCUUUGAUCCUUUAGGCAGAUGUCCCAUUGCUCCCUGGAGCCUGUGUCGUGCCUGUUGGGGGUCAGGUGGCCCCCUGAUGCCAGAACACCUCAGGCAGAGCCCUCCUCACCUGAUAGCUGUCUGCCUGGACUGUCCCCUGUCCCUGCAUCUUCCCUGGGACCACCCAGAGGGCCACAUCCACACACAGCCUAGCUGUCCACAGGGAGCUCUGCUGCCCUUGCUGGCCCUGCCCUUCCCACAGGUGAGCAGGGCUCCUGUCCACCAGCACACUCAGGUCUCUUCCCUGCAGUGUUUUCAUUUUAUUUUAGCCAAACAUGUUGCCUGUUUUCUGUUUUAAAACAUGAUUAGUUGAUAUGAGACUGAAACCCCAGGGUUGUGGAGGGAAAUUGGCUCAGAGAGACGGACAACCUGGCAACUUUGAGUCCCUGCUUCCCCUGACACCAGCCUCAUGGAAUAUGCAACUCCUGUACCCCAGUCCAGGGUGCUCUGGCAGCAGGGACACCUGGGCCAAGGGGCCAUCUGGACCAAAGGUGUGGUAUGGGGCCCUGGAUGGCAGCUCUGGCCCAGACAUGAAUACCUCAGUGUUCCUCCUCCCUCUAUUACUGUUUCACCAGAGCUGUCUUAGCUUCGAAUCUGUUGUGUUUCUGAGUCUAGGAUCUGUACCCUUGUUUAUAAUAAGUGCAAUCGUUUGGAAAAAA